rnacentral:rRNA from 1 species
UACGGGGGAGCAAGCGUUGUUCGGAUUUACUGGGCGUAAAGGGCGCGUAGGCGGUCAGCACAAGUCAGUUGUGAAAUCUCCCGGGCUUAACUCGGAAAGGUCAACUGAUACUGUGCGACUAGAGUGCAGAAGGGGCAACUGGAAUUCUCGGUGUAGCGGUGAAAUGCGUAGAUAUCGAGAGGAACACCUGCGGCGAAGGCGGGUUGCUGGGCUGACACUGACGCUGAUGCGCGAAAGCCAGGG